rnacentral:rRNA from 1 species
GACGAACGCUGGCGGCGUGCUUAACACAUGCAAGUCGAACGAUGAAGAAAAGAAUCGAAGCUUCGGCAGAAAUUCAUUUCGGAUUAGUGGCAGACGGGUGAGUAACGCGUGAGCAACCUACCUCUCACAAAGGGAUAGCCUCGGGAAACCGGGAUUAAUACCAUAUAACAUUGCGACGAAGCAUUUCGAUGCAAUCAAAGCUACGGCGGUAAGAGAUGGGCUCGCGUCCCAUUAACCGGAUGGUGAGGUAACGGCUCACCAUAGUGACGAUGGGUAACCGGCCUGAGAGGGUGAACGGUCACACUGGAACUGAGACACGGUCCAGACUCCUACGGGAGGCAGCAGUGGGGAAUAUUGCACAAUGGAGGGAACUCUGAUGCAGCGACGCCGCGUGAGUGAUGAAGGAAUUCGUUUCGUAAAACUCUGUUCUAUGGGAAGAAAAGGACUGUACCAUAGGAGAAAGCUCCGGCUAAAUACGUG